rnacentral:rRNA from 1 species
CUUGCUUCUCUUGAGAGCGGCGGACGGGUGAGUAAUGCCUAGGAAUCUGCCUGGUAGUGGGGGAUAACGUCCGGAAACGGACGCUAAUACCGCAUACGUCCUACGGGAGAAAGCAGGGGACCUUCGGGCCUUGCGCUAUCAGAUGAGCCUAGGUCGGAUUAGCUAGUUGGUGGGGUAAUGGCUCACCAAGGCGACGAUCCGUAACUGGUCUGAGAGGAUGAUCAGUCACACUGGAACUGAGACACGGUCCAGACUCCUACGGGAGGCAGCAGUGGGGAAUAUUGGACAAUGGGCGAAAGCCUGAUCCAGCCAUGCCGCGUGUGUGAAGAAGGUCUUCGGAUUGUAAAGCACUUUAAGUUGGGAGGAAGGGCAGUAAAUUAAUACUUUGCUGUUUUGACGUUACCGACAGAAUAAGCACCGGCUAACUCUGUGCCAGCAGCCGCGGUAAUACAGAGGGUGCAAGCGUUAAUCGGAAUUACUGGGCGUAAAGCGCGCGUAGGUGGUUCGUUAAGUUGGAUGUGAAAUCCCCGGGCUCAACCUGGGAACUGCAUUCAAAACUGACGAGCUAGAGUAUGGUAGAGGGUGGUGGAAUUUCCUGUGUAGCGGUGAAAUGCGUAGAUAUAGGAAGGAACACCAGUGGCGAAGGCGACCACCUGGACUGAUACUGACACUGAGGUGCGAAAGCGUG